GAUGAACGCUGGCGGCGUGCCUAAUACAUGCAAGUCGAGCGAACGGACGAGAAGCUUGCUCCUCUGAUGUUAGCGGCGGACGGGUGAGUAACACGUGGAUAACCUACCUAUAUUUCUGGGAUAACUUCGGGCAACCGGGGCUAAUACCGGCUAAUAUUUUGUACCGCUUGGUUCAAGAGUGAGAGACGGUCUUGCUGUCACUUAUAGAUGCAUCCGCGCUGCAUUAGCUAGUUGGUAGGGUAACGGCUUACCAAGGUAACGAUGCAUAGCCGACCUGAGAGGGUGAUCGGCCACACUGGAACUGAGACACGGGCCAGACGCCUACGGGAGGCAGCAGUAGGGAAUGUGGCGCAAUGGGCGAAAGGCGGACGGGGCAACGGCGCGGGAGUGAUGAAGGUCUUCGGAGCGUAAAACUCUGUUAUUAGGGAAGAACAGAUGUGUAAGUAACUGUGCAGAGCGUGACGGUACCUAAUCAGAAAGCCACGGCUAACUACGUG
rnacentral:rRNA from 1 species